UACAGAGGGUGCAAGCGUUGUUCGGAAUUAUUGGGCGUAAAGGGAGUGUAGGCGGUCUGGAAAGUCUUCUGUGAAAUCUACGGGCUUAGCCUGUAACGUGCAGAGGAAACUACCAGGCUUGAGUGUCGGAGAGGAUAGGGGAAUUCCCGGUGUAGAGGUGAAAUUCGUAGGGAUCGGGAGGAACACCAGUGGCGAAGGCGCCUAUCUGGCUGACAACUGACGCUGAGACUCGAAAGCAUGGGGAGCAAACAGG
rnacentral:rRNA from 1 species